CGAACGCUGGCGGCAGGCCUAACACAUGCACGUCGAGCGCGCCCUUCGGGGUGAGCGGCGGACGGGUGAGUAACGCGUGGGAACGUGCCCUUUUCUACGGAAUAGCCUCGGGAAACUGAGAGUAAUACCGUAUACGCCCUUUGGGGGAAAGAUUUAUCGGAAAAGGAUCGGCCCGCGUUGGAUUAGGUAGUUGGUGGGGUAAUGGCCUACCAAGCCGACGAUCCAUAGCUGGUUUGAGAGGAUGAUCAGCCACACUGGGACUGAGACACGGCCCAGACUCCUACGGGAGGCAGCAGUGGGGAAUCUUAGACAAUGGGGGCAACCCUGAUCUAGCCAUGCCGCGUGAGUGAUGAAGGCCUUAGGGUUGUAAAGCUCUUUCAGCUGGGAAGAUAAUGACGGUACCAGCAGAAGAAGCCCCGGCUAACUCCGUG
rnacentral:rRNA from 1 species